GGGAGUUCGAGAUACCCAACUAACUGCAGACGAUCGGAAUCAGGCUAGCUGAAGUGCGCCCACUCACUGGCUGGCUAACCCCGAAACGUAUCGCGAUCCAGGUUGAAUCUCUUAAACAAGAGCAGAAUAUACCGUUCAUUAGCAAGCGAUCGGCUUUAUCAUCAUCAUCAUUGUCGUUACCUGCCUUCUCCUGACCACCCCAUCGAAACAGUAAUGAACGCAUCUAAGUUGUGUAUACAGCAGCUAUGGGGGUUGUUACCUCAUGGCACAAG